rnacentral:sRNA from 1 species
UAGCCUAGUGCGCAGCUUGACCGCCAGC